rnacentral:rRNA from 1 species
CAAGGGUUCCUGGGGAAGGUUAAUCCGCCCAGGGUAAGUCGGGACCUAAGCCGAGGCCGAGAGGCGUAGGCGAUGGACAACUGGUUGAUAUUCCAGUACCACCACAUGCGCGCCCACCCCGAAUCCACUUGCUAAGGAAAGCCUUCGGGCCUACCGACCCAGUGGUUCUAGGGGAGCGAUGGGGUGACGGAGGAGGGUAGUCGGACCCACGCUUUGGUUGACGUGGGGUAAGCAGGUAGGAGGGUUUCCCAGGCAAAUCCGGGAGACCGUUAACUCUGAGAUGCGAUGCCGACCCGAUUGAGGGGAAGCCGAUGAGCCCAUGCUCCCGAGAAAAGCCUCUAGUGAGUUCGUGUGGUGCCCGUACCCCAAACCGACUCAGGUGGACAGGUAGAGCAUACCGAGGCGAUCGAGAUAACCCUGGUUAAGGAACUAGGCAAACUGGCCGCGUAACUUCGGGAUAAGCGGCGCCUUUUCUGGUGAAAGGACUUGCUCCUGGAGCCGGGGAAGGUCGCAGAAACCAGGCCCAAGCGACUGUUUACUAAAAACACAGGUGCGUGCUAAGCCGUAAGGCGCCGUAUACGCACUGACGCCUGCCCGGUGCCGGAAGGUUACGGGGAAGGGUUAGCCGAGACUUCGGUCUCAGCGAAGCUCUGAACCUAAGCCCCGGUAAACGGCCGCGGUAACUAUAACCGUGCUAAGGUAGGAAAUUCCAGUACGUGCAACUGGAAAUCUGCCCCUUGCAGGAGCGAUUCUGCGAAGUGCAGCUGGCUAUUUGCUGGAAACUCCGAGAAUCCGAAGGUACUCGUUUGUGUCACACCCAAUCAAUAGGGUUAAGACAUGGGCAGUGAAAAUCCGUUCGGUGCGGACAAUCAGCAGGAAAGGCCAGGAUUCGAGCAGUGGAUCGUCGGCUUCGUCGACGGUGAAGGUUGUUUCAGCUGUCCAGUCCAACGGAACAAACGCAUGUCCCGCGGAUGGCAGGUGCAGCCGAGGUUCGUAGUCGUGCAGGGAGAGCGAAGUAUUUCUGCCCUCGAGCUCAUAAGAGAGUUCUUCAAGUGCGGACGUAUCUAUCGCAACGCCCGGCACGAUAACCACAAAGAAGACUUGUUCACCUACAAUGUCUUCAAGUGGGACGAUCUCCGGAAAACAAUUCUGCCGUUCUUUGAAGCUAAUCCACUCCGCACGGCAAAACACCAAGACUUCUUGAAGUUGAAAGAGGUUCUGGCCAUGAUGGAUCGUCGAAUGCAUCUCUCGAUCGAUGGAAUACGUGAGAUUGCAGAGAUCACUCAAACGAUGAAUCAUCGCAAGCCGUCUCGUUUCUUGGAAUCCUCAGAGGCCAUACGCCAGCCAACUCUCCUCGACGAGAGAGUUGAAGAUAUGGUCCUGGCCCCAUGGCGACAUGGGAGAAACUCCCAGAGCGAAAUUCCUUGUCGGGUAAGUUCCGACCUGCACGAAUGGCGUAACGAUUUGGGCGCUGUCUCAAUCAGGGACUCGGCGAAAUUGCAAUACGAGUAAAGAUGCUCGUUACCCGCGGAAGGACGGAAAGACCCUAGGACCUUUACUGCAGCUUGAUAUUGGAGUUUGGGACGUUUUGUGUAGGAUAGGCGGGAGACUUUGAAACCUGGACGCUAGUUCAGGUGGAGUCAACCUUGAAAUACCGCCCUGAAUGUUCUGGGCUUCUAACCCGGGUCCGUUAUCCGGAUCGGGAACAGUGUCAGGUGGGUAGUUUCACUGGGGCGGUGACCUCCUAAAAUGUAACGGAGGUGUUCAAAGGUUCCCUCAUCCUGGUUGGCCAUCAGGAUUUGAGUGCAAUCGCACAAGGGAGCUUGACUGCGAGACUGACAAGUCGAGCAGGUGCGAAAGCAGGAGAUAGUGAUCCGGCGGCUCCUCGUGGUAGGGCCGUCGCUCAUCGGCUAAAAGGUACCCUAGGGAUAACAGGCUGAUCGUGCCCAAGAGUCCAUAUCGACGGCACGGUUUGGCACCUCAAAAUUGGGGUGAAGCGGCAGAAAUGCCGCUUGAGUAUCGGCUUAUAACGGUGAACCCCGAAACUGUCGCAUCGACUGCGUACAGUGGGCAACACCGUGGGAAGUCUGUCGGGAGUGCAGCGAUCUGUUGUCAUCGGAAGUUUAUUGGGUGACGGCGCAAUGCGCUGCAAGACCAACGCCCUUCUCGAGGUCAACCACUCUGCAGCUCAACGCAGCUAUGUGGACUGGAAGUAUCAACAGCUAGCGGAGCUAGUUGCCACUCCACCCAAGCUCCGAGCCGGCAAUGAAGGCCGGAUGGCGUACCGCUUCGUGACGCGUAGCGUCUCAGCGAUGACACCGUACUACAAAGCCUUCUAUGGCAAUGGUCGCAAGGAAAUCCCGCUCAUCGAGCUGGACGACCUCGCACUAGCAGUCUGGUUCAUGGAUGAUGGUUGUCGAUCGAGGAGAGCGGUGUAUCUCAACACUCAGCAAUUCGAUGUCAAGAGUCAGAUAAGAGUCAUCGAAAUGCUUCAAGAGCAGUGGGGCUUACAGGCAACACUCAAUCGCGACAAGUGCUACUACCGGGUUCGACUCUCGGUGGCUAGUACUGUCAGAUUCGUUCGCAUCAUCGAGCCUCACUUACUCUCUGAGAUGAGAUACAAGCUCCCGCAUGUGACCCCGUAACGACUGUGGUCUUUACCGACCAAGGUGGCGAUCCUCGCCUCUUCGGAGGCAAAUCUAUGAUCGCCACAAUACGCCGACCCCUCGCCUUUGGUUGGGCAGGGUGAAGAUAUAGUCUGCGCCGCCGGAAACGGCGGAUACACGUGCGAUGUCGGCUCGUCGCAUCCUGGGGCUGGAGCAGGUCCCAAGGGUUGGGCUGUUCGCCCAUUAAAGCGGCACGCGAGCUGGGUUUAGAACGUCGUGAGACAGUGGACAAUCGCGCUGUCUAUAAAUCUGGCUAAAUGCUGGAAUCUCCGGAGCAUCCUGCGGUACCGAUUCUGUCACACCUUUCUUCUAAGGUUGGCGCAUGGAGAUCGGUGACAAUCCGCCAGGUGUGUGGCUGCAAUCAGCUACGCCGGACAAUCAGCAGGAAAGACUGAACGACUACCUUGCUGGAUACGUCGACGGGGAAGGAAGCUUCCACGUCGCAGUUCAGCGCAAUCCAUCUACAAGUCGGGCUUUCUUCGACUUGUAGAGAUAAGCCUACGGAUGAACGGAGACGGAAAGUACCGAAGGAAGGAUUGGUCGUCCAGAAUCCUCAGAGGCCAUAUGCCAGACACGGACAAAGUUCCGUGAAGAUAUGGUCCGACCCCCAUGGCGACAUGGGGAGCCAGGCGGAACCGAAACGACCUGGACGCCGGAGCCAUUUUGGUUCCGGAGGUAACAGAAGUGUCGGUCCCUAUCCUCCGCGGGCGUAGGAGACUUGAGGGGAGCUGACCCUAGUACGAGAGGACCGGGUCGGACGCAUCUCUAGUGUGCCAGUUGUCCUGCCAAGGGCAUGCUGGUUAGCUACAUGCGGAGCGGAUAAGCGCUGAAAGCAUCUAAGUGCGAAGCCGACCCCAAGAUGAGGUCUCCCACCGGGUUAACCGGGUAAGGCCCCUUGCUAGACGACAAGGUUGAUAGGCCGGAGCUGUAAGCACAGCAAUGUGUUCAGGCGACCGGUACUAAUAGGCCGAGGGCUUGGUAUCGCUC